UACGUAGGGUGCGAGCGUUGUCCGGAAUUAUUGGGCGUAAAGAGCUUGUAGGCGGUUUGUCGCGUCUGCUGUGAAAUCUCAAGGCUCAACCUUGAGCUUGCAGUGGGUACGGGCAGACUAGAGUGUGGUAGGGGAGACUGGAAUUCCUGGUGUAGCGGUGAAAUGCGCAGAUAUCAGGAGGAACACCAAUGGCGAAGGCAGCUCGCUGGAACGGUACUGACGCUGAGGUGCGAAAGCGUGGGGAGCGAACAGG
rnacentral:rRNA from 1 species